AUGUACAAAGAACUCCACACUCUGCUAGCAGCGUCCAAGGGCAGGAUUCUUGUACAUUUCGUUACCCUGCCUACUCGAAAGAAUGGAGCCGACACAGGGGGACAUAAGGCUUGCUGGCUAACCCCUUUAAUUAUCGGGAUGGUAAGGAGGGCAGCCAUCAAUCCCCUGAAGACUGCAGAGUACAAGAGCGUGUAGCAAGCCACCAGUUCCCUCUUACCCUUCCAGAAGACAGCAUCAGGUAACAGUUGUAGGGGAAAGCAGGGUAGGAUUUGUGCAACUUUCCUCUCAAACCAAGUCAGACCCAUCUGUUUUGCAGGUUUCAUUUGAAUUAACAUAUUCACAUCAGCCUGAAUUGUAAGGUACUAAAACCAUGCAGACUGAAUUCACUGAAACCCACUGAACCAAAACCAGCAAGUUUCCCACAGCUCCAUGUGGUCUGCAUAGCAUAGAGAGCAGAACAAAAAGAAAACACAGAAAAUAUUGUGUAAGUGCAAAUAUUUCCCUCUAACCAUCCUGUGUAGGUUUGAUUGAGGCUGAACACAUUGCUUACAGCUCCACUGUUGAUCUGUGCUAGACUAUUAGAGCUAUACUUUCCAGUUGCUGAUUAGCUUUCUGAUGUGCACUCUGGAGAGCCUAAUACUGGGAGAGGUGGAGCUAUUACCAAUGGCAGAAAAAACACCUGAAACUACAAGUAAAUUACUGCCCUGGAUGCCAAAAUGAUGAAUGUUUUGUUUUAAAAUCUUCUUAAAGGAAAUCUAGGAGUUGAAACAUCAGGCUGUUUGAAAUUCCUGAAAAUAAAGAGAUCACACUUUUGUUAUGCCUUCUGACC
rnacentral:lncRNA from 1 species